rnacentral:sRNA from 2 species
AUGUGCCACUCGUCCACUGUUGUUCUGAGUGCGCUGUCCAUACCCAGCCGACGGCUGCUCGCGACGUUGGGGGCG